UGUGCUCAAAUUGUUAAUAAAUAAAUAAAUAAAUAAAUAAAUCAAAGUAAUGUUAGCAUAACAUUUUUAUUAUAGCAUGGCAGUGUUUUUUACAAAUUGGCACUGGCUAUUUUUAAAAAUUUCCUUGCUUAUCAUUCUCUUUAAUAUACACCAUUCUGUAUAUUUGACUAUCAAUAUUUACAGGAGUCCAGCCAAACCACGAGCAAUAUAGAAUCUCCUGGUUGCAGAGCACAAGAUUCUUCAAAGAGUGGCAUUAUCCCGAGGUACAACCUGAGGAGUGCAGAGAAAAAACGUAAUGCGUCUCGGGACUCUAAUUGUCAUGAAUUGUUAUAGGUUCACAAAUUACUGUACUGCAGAUGUAGGAGUCUGAGUAUCCUGUUGAAUAAAAGGAAAUGUUUUAAGGUUCAGAGAUCUUUUAUAUUUUGUAAUUAAUCUUUUUCUCAUAUUAAUAAAGAUGUAUUUUUCUAGAGUACUUACACAGUAUUUUUAUAAAAUCUCUUAAAUAACAAAAUGCUAUAUUUUUGUAGAGGUGCAAUGUUAUAUGGAUAUACAGUAUAUAUAUAAAUUUAUUAGAAUGUUGUAAAUUGUGUAUAUGAGCUCUUUAGCAUAUAUUUUCAUAAAUGUUCUAUAUAGUAUUAAUAUUUUAAUUUUGAAACUACAUAUAUAAUAUUGAACCAUAUUUAGACAUAAAAUUGUGUAUGUAUAGCACUUAUAUUUAGAGGUCACGUGCAACAACUAGAGUUGAUGAAUAAGGCAAAUGUGCAACACCCGGGUAUCUCGUUAAAGAUACUCGUGUGUUUUACAUAUCUUUUAUGCACCAAUUUUUUGACAUUAUGCAACUUUUGAUCUAAAGAUAAAAAUAUCAUACUCAAUAAGAUUCACUUUUUCUUUCUGAAAUGUUGUACUCUUAUGAAAUGUAAUGUAUUUUUUAAGAUUCGUAUUUUAAGCCAUACCUAAAAACUAAAGGAUCCAUAAUUCUAAUUUACUUUAAAAGUGAAAUUGUCCUUAGACACUGUAGCUUCAUUUUAUAUUUUAAAAUGUUUCCUGACUGUGAUGCAUCCUAAUACUUACUUUUGAGAGGUAGAAAUUUAGGGGGUAACUUGUAUCAAAUACUUGAGUGCAAGAAUGUUAAUGGUCAUUCACUCGCAUAAUCUGUUAUACUAUUAUAUAGUGAGUGAUAUGGCAAAAGUUCCUAAGCGUAUAGUAAUAAUUGUACAAAAAUAAAAAUCGUCUAAAAGAAAUAUGCUGAGAUUCUAACCAGUGUAGAAAAAAUCUUAAGUCAACUCUUUCACUGAUGUAUAAUUUAUCUAAUAUAAAUUCCAUUUAAAUAUUGGCAGACUUAUUUCAUGACUUUAUAAUAAAAGUUCUGUAGAAAAAAACUAUGCAAAUCACUUGUGAUCUAAGUAUUGUGUUUCAGUUUAGAUGUAGCUAAUACUGUGUUGUAUACUAUAAGAGGAAGUGUUUCAUUGUGUUCUGUUCAUUGCUGCUUUAUUUAACUCUUAACAUCUCUAAUAAAAAAAAUAUCUUUUG